CCUUCUCAAGUCUUGACACAACUUGCUCCAUGGAUGGCCGUUGCUUCUUGUGGCCAGUGCAUAACAGAGCAAGCUUCAAACUGAGGUCAAAUGCCUCCGUUGAAUACUCUCCAUUCAACCUAGGAUCAGCAAACUCUGAUACAUUGCCAUCUUGGAUAAGUGUAGAAGCCUGGGAACAAAAGUGACAUUGGCAUAGCAGUAUUCAUGAUGUUGAUUGCUCGUCUUCCUGAGAGGAGUUGGAGGAGCACCAUGCCGAAGCUGUACACAUCCCCUGCAGCAUUCACCCUGUGGUUGUGGCGGUAUUCUGGAUCAACAUAGCCAAAUGUUCCUCUGACUUCAGAGCUUACGUGCGACACACCUAAGUCGAUGACUCUAGAGAGUCCAAAAUCUGACAGCUUGGGUUCCAUAUCAACCCCAAGAAGUAUAUUGGUUGGCUGUCAUAGAAAGUGUGAGUUUGACUAAACAUGAAUCUAUAGAUGCACUGAAGACUUUCAGAUCAUGCAACAAACCUUGAUGUCACGGUGAACGAUGCAGCCUUCAGGGUAUAUGUGCAGGAACCAAAGGCCACAAGCACUUCCAAGUGCUAUCUGAAGCCUCUGAAUCCAUGGAAGCUCAUACACAAGAAAACACUCCUCCUGCCCGUCACAGUAACCUCUUAAUGACACAAGGCCAGCCAUUUGUCAGCACUCCUCUGUAUACCUUGCCUGGAACCACAAGAUGAACCAGUUGCACACCAUAAAGGACAACAUAUACUUGAACAGUAGUCUCCUCAUACUCAAGGGAUGCCAACGCGACCUCUGCAAGAAAAAAAAACAUGUGCAACUUCGUAUUGCUAUUAGUGGAAAACAGCUAUGGCCCCAAUUAUCACCCCAGCACAGAGGCAUCCUAGCAACGCUUCGUAUCCUGUUGAUAAAUUUUGAGGAGCUCAAAGCUUGAAAGAUCAAGUAGAAAGGCACACUUUGUCUUCAACUGUCUGUUGGUUUUUACUGCUGUUCAGCCUGUCCUUAUGUUGAUUGUUUUGUUGGAUAUGUGGAUGUUAAGUUGUUAUAAUCGACUUGAACUCGCCAGAUGUACUACUUCGCAAAUCUCUUGUUUGGAUCUGUGAACACACAGGGAUAAUUUAUAGGGAAUGAUCCUGUCAUACUAUGAAGACGAAAUUUCAUGACGCCAUCAAAUGUAGGCUCACUAUUGGUGGGAGAAUUCGAUACCAUACUGCUUCAACUGUAUUUAUAUGCCUUGAGAUUUGAUACCGUGUCAUUUCACACUCCAAUUUGAAUAGUACCUUUAAGAUUUGAUACUGUGUUGUUUCAGCUUUCAACAGUAUAAU